GAGGGGGAGGAGAGAAGAGGUGGGCAGAAAGCUUAUUUCUCCCUGCGUAGUCUCUUUUUCCCUCUAAAUUGUUUUGUUUUGUUUUUUUCUCAUCAUUUGUUUUGGGCUCUAGUUUCCAUGUCGUCGAGGUUCCUCAGAUGUCUGGAGAUGCUUGGUGAUUUGCUCCUGGUUAAGGCAGGAGGAAAGAGUCCAUUGGAGCCUCCGAGACUGGGGAGGGGCUUAUCGGCUUUGGGGUCUCAGUAGAGUGACCAGGCUGGGCUGGUCUUCAAGGUGCUGUGAGUGCUAACCUUCUGGGGUUUUUCUUCUCGGGUGGGCCAGAGUUCCUGGAGAAGACUCUUCUGUUUCCCUCCUGAAGAGUGUGGGCUUAACCAAGAGAGGCUGAGAGGUCAUCCUAAGCUUCAUUAUGUAAAUGUCGCCUUAAUUUUUUGUCCCCAAAUGUCCUGUCCUCUAGAGACCCUCUCUCAAGUUUAGCUCCAGGCUCCUACCAGGACUGGGAAGAGACCCUGGCAACUGGACCCUUUCUAAAAUGUUCAACCAGCCCUCCUGUUCCAGACCUCUCUUCACUCACUGCCAUGAUGACUGGGGCCCCCCAUCUCCAUACUUCGGGGGCCCCUGCAUGUGACUCAGGUUGCUCCUUGGCUUUCUGAGCCUUCUCAGGUCAGUGGAAGCAGUUGCUACUCCUCCUUGAUGCCUAACUCAAGGCUAUUGUCUUCUCUCUUCUUGUUGUCCUUAGAGCCUUUUAAAAAUCUCUUUACUGUCGUAUCAGCGGGCUUCCGGAAGGAAAGAGGAAAAAUGUGCUGGGAAUCUGCAUGUGCUUCUCCAACACCACCAGAACCCAGGAGCUCUUCAUUCUUUCCUGGGGACAACUGCUCUGGACACAGCACCGGGGACAGAAAAAGGACACUCGAGGGAGUCCCGACUCGUUGCUCACUGCUGCCCUCGCAGAAGAUGGCUGUGGGGACGGACAAUCCAAAACAAGGUCGUAUUCGUUUCCUAGGGUUGUGGUAACAAACCCCACAAACUAGAUGACUUACAACACUGGAAAUUUCUUGUCUCCCACUUCUGGAGGCCACAAGUCCCCAGUCAAGGCGCCAUCAGGGCCGCAGUCCCUCCAAAGACGAAGGAAGUCCUUGCUCACUUCUUCCCGGCUUCUGAGGGUUUGCUGGUGACCUUCCUCAUCCCAGUUUGCAGUCCCCUUAUUCCAGGCUCCGCCUUCUUCAUCCCACAACCUCCCUGGGUGUCUCUGUCUUUCUGACUGUCAUCUUAUAAGGACACUAGUCCUAUGAGAUUAGGAGCAUACCCACUCCAACAUGAGCCUGUCUUCACUGGUCACAGCUGCAGUGACCAUAUUCGCAAAUAAGGUCCCAUUCUCAGGAGCUGGUGGUUCAGCUUCUUCAACACAGUUCUUUGGGAGAGCAGGGGGAGAUACUGCUCAAGCUAGAAGAUGUGUCUAACUCAAUUAUCAUUCCUUCUAGGCAAUGGUCCACAAGAGUCGGACUUGGAGGACGCAGUAGCUUGUGUUUAUAAAGAGCUAAUUGUUCACCUAAGAAAAGUCAUGGAGUCCUGAGCUCUAAUCCCGGUUUAAAUUGAAGAAGUUCUCCAUUUCACUUAACCCAUGAGGAAGGAAAAAAUGUCCAGGCUGGAGAUGGCAGGGGAGCACAGGCAGGAGAGCUACACGUGUUCCAAACACACUUCAGUUUUGUCCAACGAGCCUCACGAAGCCCAGAAUCCUUGGUCCACGCGGGAUGAAACAAGAACUCUCAGGGCAGGGGGCCUUUGUGGCAGACACACCUUAGCAACCAACCUGUGUCCUUGGGCAAGACACUUGGCCCCUCCGAGUCUGUUUCCUCACCUGCAGAACACUCACCAGCCCCAGCAGGGUAUGUGUGAGGAUUAAAUGGGACAGUAUCGUGAAAGCCCCCAGCCCGGGCUCCGGCACGCAACACAUGCUUCUGCGAUGUCAGCUGCUUGGAAAUAAAGGAGCUCAGGGCCCCUUAA